GCAUUUAUGUCAAAACCUAGAGACUUUCAAACAUCAAUACGUCAUUUAUUAAUAUGUAUUCAUGUCAAAAUGACAUAAACAUCUUUUCCUAUUCUAUUUUCCAUGGAAACGCUUCCAACACGCUUGCUUGAAAAAUCAGUGCU